rnacentral:tRNA from 1 species
GCCCGUAGCUCAAUUGGAUAGAGCGUCUGACUACGGAUCAGAAGGCUAGGGGUUCAACUCCUCUCGGGCGCACCA